rnacentral:lncRNA from 1 species
UCAAUGGAUCCGCCCACCUUGGCCUCCCAAAGUGCUGGGAUUACAGGUGUGAGCCACUGCGCCUGGCCACAGUGGUUGUUUUUAAAGACUCAUUUACAAGAUUUGUCCUAAUGUCACUACAGUAUAAUUCCCAUCUUGGAGGGGUGAGCAUCUGCAGCUGUGAGGCACAGAGGGAAGGUUGAUGGGGGAGGGGAGAGAGGGUAGAGCCCCUGGAAGCUAUGCAGUGGCCUUACAGGAUGAUUUGGGAUAGGAAAUGAUGCUACUUUUUUGCUCUGAAUCCAUUUUUGGAUGUUGGUGGUAUUCACAGGUUGGAUUGAUUGGGUUUAGGAAGUAUUGUUUAGAAUAUCUACAAAUGAUAAUGUGUAUGAUCAUUGCUUUGGUAGAACAUCCUUAAUUUUAAUCUCUCUUCCUCUCCCAGCCCCUCUCCUGAGUAUGUCCAGAAUUUUAUCAAGUGGUUUCUUCUUGGUUCUCUUAGUAGGAAGAGGGCACAGAACCCUGUGUCUUGGAGGGGACCCAGCUUGGAGUCAGCUUCUGCUGUAUGUCAGGGGCAGCCUUGGAGCAGGCUGGAGGGCCCAGCAACCUCUAGAGUUUGGAAGCUGGAUGUUCAGCCUUUUUGGGUGGAAUACUGUAUAGGUGUUUUUCAUUUGUAAGAUAUACAUACAAUGAGGGGCAUAGGGUAGCAUUUUGAAGUUUGAUGAGUGGGGAAAGGCUGAUUGGAAGGGUAGAUAGAUAGGCUAAGACAGCUCAUAGCCUCCGGGAUUCCACAGCCUCGGGAGAAAUGACCAAGGAGAUAAACAGUGCAGUGCAGCAUUGCCAGCGUUGACAGAGGAGCAUUGCGGACCAGCAGGUGACUGCAUAGGCUUCAUACUCUCCUGAAUAGCCUUUUAAAUUUUAAUUUAGAUAUUAUGGGCAUCUUAGCAAAUUUCACUUAAUAGUCACACAUGUUGGUCAGUAAGUAAUAACUGCUUUUUUUGCUUAGCUCUAAGAUGUUGGCAUAUGUCACUCAUGAAUCACACAAUUGAGCUUCUCUUAUCUAUGUGACAGUCUCACUUCUAAUAGAGAUAACAUCAGAAUAGAUUUCUAUCAGCCUUAUUUGAGACUCAGCAAUUGAAACUUCUCUUUCCUAUCUUCAGAAGUGUAUUUGCUCUCUAGGAAAUAAUUCUGUAGUGAUAGGUUUUAAUGUGUCUUGGAGGCUACACCCUUUUCAUGGGCACCAAGGGGUUUGGACAUUUAAGGAUAGACAACCCUAUACUGUUGCUGUAGCGAAACAUAACACACAGGAAAGCCCGCCGGGGGAGCAUGCUGCUGAAUGCAUUGUGAGGGAAUAGACUUUGAUGUUCUUUUCACAUGAUUUGGGGUUUCCUCAAUAGGUAGGUAGAAGGAAAUAAUACUUGUCUUUUAGAUUUAGGACUUACUUAUAGCUUUUUCAAAACAUCAUUAGUUCAUGAACCAAGACUAAAAGACAUGAUUAGAAACAAAAUAACUUAAAUCAAUUGUUGGAAAUUCAUAUUUGGUGUUCAACUGUAAUACUAUUUUAAUUUAACUCUACAUUUUGGUAGCAAAACACAUGAGUUAAGGAGCAUUUUAAUUUCAAAAUUAACUGAGUCUUGAGAAUCAGAAUGAGUCUUGAAGUAUAGCCCAGUUUUGCAAAUCAGAUUUUUAAUUGAACUCACUAUUGUUUAAUUAUGCUUGUCAGGUCUUGUCACUGUCACCAGCGGUGUGGAAUUUAGGUACCUAAUGCUGUGAGCUUUAGUCAGUAGCUUAAAACAGUGUCACUGCAAAGUAAUGACACUACAGUGGGUUAUAGAAAUUAUGCAGUUUUAUUUUGUAGUCACAUUUCACGUUGUUAUGUGGUGGAAUAUAUAUCACAUUUAAGCUAAUAAUAUGAUUUUAUUUUUAUCUGGGAAAUACAUGCCAGUACUACUCAGGAAUUUGCUUAAUCUGGCUUAUAUUUUGCAGAGAUGUCAUCUCUAAGCUUUCAAGGUAGCAUUUAAUGUUGCUUUAUUUUUUAGUCAGCAUUAUAGAAAAGUAAAUACAAAAAACUUCAUGCAGUUGUUUAUGUAUUUGCUUUUUGUGUACCCAUGAAAUCAUCUUUUAUUUGGUUCAGAUUUUACAUUUGUGGGGCUCCUUGGCCAGGGAGUCAGGCAGAGGCUAUUCAAGGUCAAGGGGAAAAUACAUGUGUGAUUGUAGUGUUAUUUGUUAAGGUUCUUUUCUGUUUUAUGUUUUCUAUCUUCUAAGCCAGUCGUGAAGUUACACUGUGUUCAAUCUUGUUCUCUAGGUUCAUUUCCAGGUUUAUUAUUAAAGUAUAUUAAACUUCUUGUUCAGCAAAGUGUGAGCUCCUGUUGUUGGAUACUUGAGCAGCACUGUUAUUUUGUAAAACACACAUACUCAUACCCAACAAGACAUAGGCUGUUCUGUGCUGCAAGCACAGACACUCCUAAAGGCAGAUAUUUCACAGGAUUUGUAUCAUUUUUGUCAAAUUCUAACUCUCUUAUUUGCAGUGACCGAGUUUUCAUACAUUUGAUGAUAGUUUUUGAAUGAACAUUGCUAUGUGGUUAUAAACUGAUGGCAAUGGCAUUCAUUUUAACUUAAUUCAGAGACAAGAAAAGAGCAAAACUCUGUAGGCAAAGGCUGUGUUCAGAGUUCCAUUGCUUUCAGGAUUCAUGUCAUCAGGGCUCAGUGUUCUGGCUCCCCUGAAAAAGCUAAUUCAGUUUCUUUACUUACCCCGCAGACAGUUGGCUGUGUGCCACGAGCUGUUGACAGUUACUGCUUCUCUUGAGGCUGAUUAGCAUGCAAUGUUACACUGUCCCUAAGAAUAAUUUUGCUUACCUAUAUAAUAAUUCAAGAAUUUAAUCAUUUCCAAACAUGUCCUAAAUUAUUUAGUCCUUUGUCAGCAUCUCAAUUGAGUUCUAGAAGUUAUUUUUUUUUAAACAUUCACUGUGAGUGUAGUAGUGUGUUAAAUACAUUAAGGAAAGUGUUUCCAAACAGACUGUUGUUUCUAAAAAUAGAUUUCCUUGCAUUCUUUUGUUACAUUAUAGUUGCAUCUCUCAUCUGAGGAUAACAACAGUCCUGUGAGGCCAAAAUGUUAGCUGUGUCUCCCCUUUUCAUAGAGGAGGAAACGGAAACUGAGGCCAAGGUAGGGUAAGGAUUUUGCCCAGAUUCACGUAGCUGCCUGUGGUCUGCAGCCCAGCGCCCCUGCCCCCUCCACCUCCUGGCAGGCCUGUGGGCAGAUCCUGUCUUCUGGGAGGGGAAUGGGCAUAUAACCAGAACACAGAAGAGGAUUAUAGUGUCUAACCCACCAUCAUCAGGUGUGCAGAGACCAUUAAUCUCACAGAGGAGAUUCGUAUUCUGCUGUUGUAAGAGGAGGACUCCUCUGGCAGUGAGGGGAGGACUGCGUCCGGCUUGGCCAGGGGUCCACCAGAGGUCCCCCGUCUGCCACUUUCUGAGUGACAGCCAAGCCUGGGUCAUUCUUUUCACCCCACUCACUGCAUCAGGAAACUGUGUAGUUUUUGAGGUUUGCAUUAAACAAACAUUUGAUACCCUUUCAUUCUGCUCCACAUUAAAAGCUAGACAUACAUUUCAUUAUAGGAAAAGCAAAAACAUGUAAUAGAAAAAGGCAGUUUAUUUCUUAUUUUCUAACCUUUGGGAUUUUAAAAUUUUGACAGUCAUCUCUCUGUUCUCUCCUCUCUUGGCCCAACGUGCUGUCACUUCUCCGUGGUAGGAUUGCCUUUCCCUUCUGCCUGCUCCAUACAGUGUUAUACUCACCAGCUCGCAGAUCUGUUAGCAAAUACUGUUUAGUCAGGCUCUUGCUCAGCCAGCUAAUACAGAGCUACUAUUUAUGAAGGGUCAUUCACCAGGGAAGCACUCUGCUAACUACUUUUCACAUAGGACCUCCUGUAAUUCCUCCAACCACCUCAUUAAGUUGGGUAUUCUAACUAUUCCUAUUUUAUAUAUGAAAAAAUUGAGGCAUAAUGAGGACACCUGCUCAACAUCAUGUAGCUAAUACGUGAUAAAGCUGGGGUUUGAGCCCUGUUUUGCUGGACUCCAUAGCCAGUGGUCUACCAAAGAAGAGACUGAUUUUGUCCCUUCCUUGGCCAGAUUAGGUAGUUGUGAUCUAUCAUUGUUUUCUGGCACAUCUCCCUUCAAAUAAUGUAAACCUUUUCUAAAAAGUAGCUAGCAGCUUUUGCACCUAGAGAAUUUUUUUUGUCUGUUCUGAUGUUCAAUUAAGCAGACUAGUCUAGUGUUCAACAUAUAAGCCAAGAAUUGCACUUUCUUCUUAUUUAUGCCUUAUGGCACUAGAGCAAAGAAGUAGUUCCAGGUGGAUCUUCUGAUAAUAAAAAUGAUUAGUGUUGAGACCAACAUUGUUACUUCUUUACUUGUUGCCAAUUUUUACACAUUUGAGAACUCUGUAGUUGACUGUGUAGUCAGUUGCAUACAAGUUAAUGUCUUGUGCGAGAUUUUAAGGUUAAUUUCUUCCUGCUUACUCUUCCACCUCCCAGAUGUUUUCCUUUAUUUUCCCUAGGAGAUGGAAAUGGAAAUGUUAUUCUUCUUUAUUGUUGCGGGUAAUGCCUUAAGAAAAAUCAGAUCCAAGACUGUGUGCAUGCACGCACAUGUGUGCGUGUGUGUGUGUGUGUGUGUGUGUUUGAGAGAGAGAGAGGUUGGUGGGGAAUGAAGAGAGAGGAUUUAAUUGCCAAGAUGAUUACAGAUUAAGCUACAAAAAGCAAGAGAGCUAUUGGUCUGAAACUGUGUUGUGUCUGUAGAGUGCACUCUGAUUCACAGAAAAUUUUGUCAACAUUAAAUGCGAUGGGAGUUGAGUUUUCAGAGGUGGUAACUAUGAAGGGGUUGGUCAUGUAAUGCUGUGCACAUAUUAGAGCAACAGGCAGUGCUCUCGCACUGCUUUUACCUGGAUUUAUAAAAUGCCCAGUCCUUAUACUCUUGAGCAUGACCAGAUCCAUUUCCUGUUUUUUUCACAUUUCUUUUUCUAAGAAUAAACAGAACCCUAGGAAGGGAAGGUAGCUUCAAAUACAAGCCAUUUUAAGUAUCCUGGUCUCUUAAUUCCUUUUUUAUUUUUUUUUGGAUGACUUGAGGACAAUAAGGUGUUUGUUUAUUUAUUUAUUUAUUUUGGUUUUAAGGAGCAGAGAGUUUAAUAGGCAAGAAGGAAGGAAGAAGACAGAAGGAAGAAGCUCCCCCGUACAGAGACAGAUGGGGGCUCCAAAACUGAAAGAGGAGAUCCCCCUCUUAAUUCUUAAACUAUUUUUAAAAUGAAUGUUGACUUUCCUGAAGUUAUAAACUGUUUUUAACUCUUAUCAGUCCUCCUUGAUUUUCCUUGUUCAGGUUCCAUCUUUUUAACAUCCUUUCCUCUCGCAGUAACUACAGCAUGAUUUGUUUUACCCCUCAGCACUCAGCUAUCACAGUCAUAGCUCUCUCAUCUGAGCAGCCUCUCCCUCAAUCUUACAAACAGUAGGCAUCCACAAGGAAGUCAAAGAAAGGGUCUCUGAGCUGCCACACACUCAUAAGAGGCCUCCUUAGUCCUACUCCCAGGACACAUUUGUUCUUGUUUAUGGAUGAUUCUUAACUGGCUGAUUAUCCCAUUUCUAUUUCAGUAGCCAAUUUAAAAGCAGAAAAUUAGAUGUGGAAAAUUGUACUUAGGUUGGUAAACUGAAAAAUGACACGACAUGCCUUGACUCUAUUCAGUUAGAGUCAUUUAUUUAUUUUUACAUGUUUGUAACUUGCCCCAUUCCACAGCGGACUUGAGGCAGCUGACAUUCUUACAGAAAGAGUCCCUUGUUAUGUCUUUAAUGGAUGCAGCCUCCUUAAAACAGCUCAGGAUUGAAAAAACUCUUGUGCAGAACAGUUAAUUGAAGUGUUCUGCUAACAUUUUUUGUUGCUUUAUUAAUGCUUGCCCUGGGAAUCAUAUCAUAAACAGUUUAGGUAAACAAUAAGUUAACAACACUGAGAAUUUUCCUGUUUCACCAAACGUGUCUUAUCUACAGGCUGCAGACAUUCAGCAUUACCUUGUCCCUUGCUUCUGUUCUCUUUAUAAAGCUCUGGACAAGAGGCACACAACAGACGUGUCCCAGCUGCUGACUCAGUGUGACAGAGCACUGUUGCCAGUGCCCAGGUGACUGCAGUGGGCCACACUGCAGGAUUGAUGGUUUAACUCUCUGUAGCUUCCAAAUCAGAUUAUUUUCAUUUGCGCAAAGGCACACCAGCAGGGGUGUGUACUGUUUGACGCACAGAUGACAAUCUGGCCGGAAGCUAGUACUUGGGGAAAAAAAUAAGGGAAAGGAAAAUGAUAGUUUUGAAACAACAUAGUUAUAAAACACAGCAUGUAUCUAUAUUUUUCUUCUGAAAAAUGUGAAAAUUUUCACCCUGGAAAAAUACCCAGAAACCAAGCAAUAGCUUCCCUGUGUUUUGGCAUUUAUAUAACAGUUUGUAUAAAAGGACAACGCUGAUUCCAAUACUACGUGUGAUUGUGCCAAAAAAUCAUGAGAUGAAACAAUCAGUAUGUUUGCACUUUUGGUUUGAAAUUUUUUAAGAGUAUAACAAUGAAAAGCAAAAAAGGAGGGAGUGAAAGAAGAAUCUGCCCUACAGUUGAAGAGCAUAGGGGAGGUGGCAUAGAUUGAAAAGCCAGGUGUCUGCAUAACCAAUGGUUAGAGAACCACCACCAAGAUGAGGAGGUGAAGGAGAUUAGCAUGAAGAUGGGGAGUAGGAAGGAGGAAAUGCCGCGAAAUGGUGCCAACUUGUUUGACUAAAAUUCAGAAUCCUACAAGGACUUCCAGAAAAUAUAAACAGCUGCACAGUUUGAAUUAUAUACUUCCUACAUUUCUUCAGUUUUCAGAAGCACGUGAUUCUGUCCUUUCAGCAGUGCUGUGAAGGAGAGGAGGCACAUAGCCCUCGUUUAUAAGCCAGGUGACCGUUAGGCCUCAUGACAUUCUGUGCCAUGGACAGCUGUAACAGACUGGAGACAAAGCCGUGCCUCCACCUGCAAAACUGGCCAUGCUUUCUAGAAAGCCGAAGUUGCAUUUCAUAGACUGCACCAGAGGCUGUAAUACCCACUUCUAAAAAGAACAAACACUUUGUGAGGCACUGAAUUUAGGCCAUUGGGAAGGAGAGGAAGGGCCUACCUAAGGAGGAUCUGUGCCCAGGAAGUGUUGCUCAGUCCCUGAGACAUUAAUAGGAGGGAGUUCAGGUAAGGCAGCCAGUGGUCACUUGGAGAAAGGAGGAUAAGUGGGUUCGAGGCAUCAGCUUGCCCUGGACCUGCAGUGUUGGCAGCAGGUUCCAAGGAUUUGCCUGCCAGCUGUUGAGGCUAAAAAUCUAGGAAUAGGCACAUGGUUUUCCAACCCCCUGUACUCCACCUAACACAGUGCUCAGGAAUAAUUGUUUCAUUUUAUAAAACAAACUGCAGAAGACUUGUAUUUGCCAGAUCCCAAAUUGGAAAUGAGUGUCUUCUCUAAAACUCCUUUGUCUGACUGCCAAGGUAACUAGACUUAUCACGAUGAGAGACUAGGCCAAAACACACACCCAUAGGGGCCCAGCAUACUGUUUUAAGAGUUCUCCCUUUUUGUGUAGAUGCUCAAAGGGAAAUUGUACUUACGGAAACCUUCAGCUGUCUGAAACCAUCGGUGAAUGGGUGAUUCUAUAGAGAAGAGUUUUAUAAAUAGUUGAUAAUUUAAAUGUUCAGAUUUUAUUUUAACCUUCUUUUGCAUGGUUAUGGCCUCCCUUGAGACGAAUUGCUUGGUUCCUUUUGUGUGAAAGAGGGAUAACAACCCUCAACUGGGAGAAUACUGAUGAGCUUAGCAUACGUAUCCUGAUAACAUGUGACAGCCACGAGAGGAACUCCAUGAAGUUUAGCUUCCUGCCUCUUGCCAGCCUCGAAGAGACUACACAGCAAGAAGUCCUUGACUUGAAUAACAGUUAUUUUGUGUUAAGGUAGAUUUCCUCUAUGCACAAUGGCCCUAGGCUGCUAUUCUUUUUUAGCUUUGGACUUUUUUUUUUUUUAAUAGUUUUUCCACCUCCUUUUCUUAGUUUUGAAAAAAAGUGUACUGAUAAAAAACUUUACCAACUUCCUGCUGUAUUAUGCUAGAAGCUUUAUCUGUGUCACCUCAUUUAAUCUUCAUGGCAAGAUGUCUUUUUCAUUGGUCUGCAUAUGUGUGGCUUAAUUAAAUCAUUUCGUAGCUGUGAUUCGUUUUUUCCAAAUUCCAGAAGUUGUUUUGCUGGAUGUAGAUCAGAAGUGGGAACAACUUAGUUCCCUUAAUUUGCCUAAGGCAGAUUUUCCUUAAGUCGCUAUUAAAAGUGCUCGCAUUGUUAGGUGAACCAAGUGUUGAAUGGUACUUUACAAAGGUAAGAACAUUAACAUCUACCACUUAGUUGAAGCUCACCACGUGCCUGUGCCAGACACUGUCUGAAACCCUUCAUGUAUUUCCAUUAAAACAGCUCUAUUUGACUUAGAGGAACUGAUAUCAUGCCUUAAAAUGAAAAAAGUGUUUCAUCAAAGGCAAUAUGAAAAUAAUUUGUUUUGAUGGAAAAACUGUCUUUUUAGUGCACAGUGAAAGCUUAAGAGGAUAGGGAGCAGAGCCAGCUCUAGUUUGUACAUAUUAGAAAAGGAUGCCCUCUCUGGGCAGACACUGCACAGGCUUGGUGAAUGGAUGGUCCUCUUGUGCCUCUGAUUCUCUGACGCUAGGCUGUGUGGCGCAGGGAGCUGAGUGCAGGGUAGAUUUCAGCUUCUUGUGCGCUGUUGUGCAUUGCACAGCCUGGCCUAACUACAUGGCAGCUGAAGUGUGUGUUUGCAUGUUGUAGGUGGGGUAGAGUGGGCGAAGGUGUUGAUGGAGAAAGGGCAAAGGAUGAACGAAGGAGAAGGGAACACGUACAGGACAAAAUGAUACCUUGGCAAAUGGUGAACAAUCGAGGACAUUAUUUGAGAAUUGGGAAGGAGAGGAAGGGGUAAAUGGCUGCAGCCGACCCCUGUUCAAGGCCUGUAAGGCAGUUUGGUCCUCCCAGUGACCCCUGAUGCUCGUGCCUCCGUCCACCUCUACAGCCUGUGGCCAAAACCCAAAGGAAUAAAGAGGGCCCUGGAAAACCCAAGCAAAUUGCACUAUUCUCACCACCACUGCCGCUGCCAAGGGAGUCUUUCUUUCCUUAACCGUAACUCCCUCUCUGGUCUUAAUUUCUAACUUCAGAGCUUAAUAAUGCUUCUUCUUAAGGGGCAGAGGAAUUCUUAGGCUCCCAGUGCUCUCUGGGAGAAGGACUUAGAGACACUGGGGGAUGGUGUGAAAUACUUUAGAGCUUUGACAUUCUCCCCCUUGACUCAUAUGGGGGUUCCCUGUCACUGAGUAGUAUUCAGCCCAUAGGUGGUGAGACCCAGCCCUUGGUCUCUGAAGACCAUCCUGGUCUCUACUCGCAUGUUGUCCUGUUCCCCUAUGGCUUGCAGAUGUGCAGAAAAAGGCCACAAUUGUGGAUUGGGUGCAGUCAUAAUAAUAGGAAAGCAAAAUAUGAAAGCAGAUGUAGAGAGAGGAAAAUCUAAUUGUAAAAGAGCCUGUUUAUAAGUUGCAUACAUGUCUUGAUUAUUUUUCUUCUUUUCAUACUAGAAAAUAUUUGAUCAUUUAUUAUUAUUAACUCCAUUGAGGGCCAAAUGCAGAUUUCAAUACUGUGUUUAGUAACUCUCUGAAGUUGCAGAAGGGCAAAAUAAGUCACAGUAGGUUUUUCGUUCAUUUUUCUAAUUUAGGCAUCAUUCACUCUAAUUUCAUAAGAUUUGAAUGCAGUUUGCUAAAAUUCCAGAAGGAGAUUAAUUUACCAGUUCGUGUCAUAUAAUACUUGUUUUCCCGUACCAUCCAGCACCCAUUUUGGCAAAUAGAAAUAUACAAGGAUGGUGGAGAUCGAUGUACUUUAGAGUGUAUUUCUGAGAGCAAAUGACUUCAUAGUCUACAAAAUAGUGGGGCAGUAUAAAUUCAUCUUAUGUGAAAAUAUGGAUGAACAUGGCUUUUAAAAGGAGAAAAGAAAGGAGACCGAUGAAUGUGUAUAUAUACUUUUAAAAGCUCUGGUUUAGAAAUCAGAACAGGUUCAGAAAUAUCCAGAAUAAUGCCUAGAUGGCUUUCAAUAUUCAUUUGAAUGGGCUGAUUUCAGGUGUCCAUCUUCAGUUAUAGGAAUACUUGCUUCCAUACAAUGAUUUAAUACUGCUUGCAGACCUCAUAGAGACGUGAUUUAGACUCAGGGAAAAGCAGAUUCUGGCAUUGUUUACUCAAUCUGUCUUGAAUCUCAUAUCCCACCUGGUGGUGACUAUGACCUAGUGUGUGGUCUGCACAGUUAAUAAGUUGGAAUCUUCUCACUUGGAAAGUCCAUUGUGAUUUGCCCUCUGGUGUCUUUUUAAAAACUCAUUAAUAGCUUACUCAGAAACUUAGCUGGUAAAAUUGUUGCACUUGAGAAAAGGGCCAUCUGUUCAAAGUUCAGUAGGGAUAGAAUUCUUACAGUAUAAUGUAAAGUGUUAUGUAUCUUUCUCUCCUUUUAGAAACUGAGCUCACAGACAAGUUCUACCCACUGCAGUUUGUCAGGAUUUUUUAAAUUAUUAGCUCACAAAAGCAAAUCAGAAUUUAAUAUAUUUUUUGUGUAAUAGUUUGAUUUCUGUAUAUAUACAUGGAAGGAAAUGUUUUGCUACAUUUUUGCAGGGCUUGUUGUAUUUUAACAAGGUAAUCUUUUUUUCACUGGACUUGUGAGACUCAUAAAAAUGUCAACACGUGAAGUAUAGUUGAAUUAAAAUGCAAAAACCUGGCCCCCAUACCCUCUUCCUGUCUGCCUCAGCUCCCUUCUCUGGGUCCCCUCCUAUUUGGUACAUAAUCCUGCCAUAGCACCAGCCACACUGCCCUGUAAUUGCUGAUAGUAAUUACUAAGUGGUUUCUCCCCCAGUGCUCUGCCUCAUUUGAAGUUCUUGGUGUGUGCACAUAACUGUAUGUUCAGUGGAUGUCCCCAUAGCCUACCGUAAUGCUGGGUGCUUAGUACGCGGAGAGUGAGUAAAUACAUGUGCGUGUGCAUAUGUAAUCAGUGUUUGGUAAGGAUGAACAAUGAGGAUGGAGGUCUGACCCUGGUAAACAGGGAAACGAUGGGGCCCGUCCAGGAAUUCCGAGCAGCAGCUGUGUGAACUUUGGACUUCAGAGGCACAGGCUGAGGUGGGGCAUCAGGCUGCUGUUAGGAGAGCAGUGUUGGAGCGAGGCAGAGGCUGGCUGCUCCAGGAAGAUUCCUGAGGUAUCAGGAAGGUUUCUGAGAGCUCCGACUGAGUACAGCGUGUGAAAGAGUGCAGAAACUGACUGCCAGAGUGAAGGUUGCCAAAGGAAGACCCAGCAUACCAAACAGGAAAAAAAAAA